UAUUCCUACGGGACGCAGCAGUGAGGAAUAUUGGUCAAUGCCCGAGAGGCUGAACCAGCCAAGUCGCGUGAGGGAAGACGGCCCUACGGGUUGUAAACCUCUUUUGUCGGGGAGCAAAGCGAACCACGUGUGGUUCAUUGAGAGUACCCGAAGAAAAAGCAUCGGCUAACUCCGUGCCAGCAGCCGCGGUAAUACGGAGGAUGCGAGAGUUAUCCGGAUUUAUUGGGUUUAAAGGGUGCGCAGGCGGAGGUGCAAGUCAGCGGUCAAGUGGGGGG
rnacentral:rRNA from 1 species